rnacentral:lncRNA from 1 species
CGUUGCUCAGCUCCUCCCGCUUUCUCUUGGCGCGGAUGUGCGUGCCCACUCUCUUCUUGAUGAACUUGAGUGCGCGCUUGUCCUUGGACACUUUGAGCAACUCCAUGGCUCGCCGCUUGUAGGGCGCGAAGCCGCACACCUCCCGGAUCAUGUCCUGCACGAACUUGGUUACAGUGGAUUGAAUUAUAAACAACGUCAUGGGGCAAGAUUUCAUUUUAUGAUGACAGUGAUCUUUGUUGCUCUAAAUGCCAGUCUGACAGGAACUUACGGAUCCUCAGCUCUUCAGGUCUUUGCACCUCCCAACUUCUGCCUCUGCAGACCUUUGACCCCUGGGUUCAGUGCUACGGGUGCUUUCUCUUCUGCAGCUGGUCAGAUGGCCCCAGGGCACCCAGAGAAUGCACCGGAAACCCAGGAGUUGGACAGCAGCUUCCCCCAGCACAGAGCCAAGCAGAGGCUGACUCUGACCUGAAGUCUGCGCCCCUUUCAGCACUCUGGGAGCUAUUACCACCUGUCCAUCAGCGGCAUCAAGGAGCCAGGAGUGAUGACCUGGACAGUUCAGACUGUGGGAAGAGGUCCGCGCUUUGAUGAAGAAAAGCCAAGAAGGGAAGAAAGCUUAUAGGGCGUGUGAUCUGAGUGGAGUCUGGCUUUCCUCACUCACCAGGACCUGAAAAUGAGCAGAAAUUGGAUUUCAGUAUUUGGCAUCCCUUACCUGUUCAGAACGUUCUAAAUGUACUAGCUUGCCUAAGGCUCUCAAUAACAGCUGUGCAAGGAAUAUACUAUUUCAUUGAGGGGAAACACAAAGCCCAAGAGGGGCCAAAUGGUGUCUUAAAGCCACGUCUGUAUGCAGCAGAACCAGGUU